CAGCAUCUGUUUGACAGACCUGGAGCAAAAACCCAUUGCUUUUCUGGUUCUUGUUGAGAUGCAACAGAAACAGAUUCCUUGCGCUUUCCACCUGCCUGUCCUUGUGGCAGUCUGGAUUGAAUAAAGGAAUACAAAC
ensembl:snoRNA